UACGAAGGGUGCAAGCGUUACUCGGAAUUACUGGGCGUAAAGGGUGCGUAGGUGGUUUGUUAAGUCUGCUGCGAAAUCCCCGGGCUCAACCUGGGAAUGGCAGUGGAUACUGGCAAGCUAGAGUGCGGUAGAGGGUAGUGGAAUUCCCGGUGUAGCAGUGAAAUGCGUAGAGAUCGGGAGGAACACCAGUGGCGAAGGCGGCUACCUGGACCAGCACUGACACUGAAGCACGAAAGCGUGGGGAGCAAACAGG
rnacentral:rRNA from 1 species